rnacentral:lncRNA from 1 species
UAAUUUUUUGCACAUGUUUGAAUAUUACUGGCAAACACUGUGCAAUCCCUGUAUUCCGAUCUUGAAUCCGGAAUAAGUUAGACAAAAUCCUGAAGUCUGUUGUGUACCCUCAAUUAUAUGCGUCACACUAUGUACUACAGUUGCAGUUAUCAAGUUAGAUUAUCAUCUAAUCUAUUUUUACGCUGAAGCUAGCCUAUCUACAGCCGAAUCAAACGAACAAAAGUAUCCAUAUAAAUUGGGUUCAUAUACUUAAUGUCGGUGGUAAUAAAAUUUUAAUUUGUGUUGCAUCACUUUUAUGCAUUCAUUUACUAUUUAGUUACUCCAUAUUGCCUAUGCAUUAAAAAAGAUAUUAGUUGGAUAGAGCAGGAUGCUUAGUAUUGUUCAUAUAGAUUGUGCCAGAUUUAAGCAUGGGCAGACUUAAACAAUGAGAUUAUUACUGUAAGGACCUAGAAAUUGUAGUGUCAUUAAUGGUGUAUAGUUCAUAAAAUAUUUGAAUUCAUUGUUUGUAUGAUUGCUAGUCUAUGAACUAAUAGAUUGUGCUUUUGAGCAAAAUACGCUUUGUAUGUUAGAAAGUGUAAAAGGUGUACAUGUUGACCGGGUGUUUUAAAGCGGGGUAAAAGUUGACUUUUUGAUCUAGAGUUCAUAUAGAAAAUUGAUGUCCAUGGAUGCGUAGAUCUCUUCAAAUGCAAUCCGUUUGAAUACUCAUAUAUAGUAUUCAGAGUUCAUAUAGAAAAUCGAUGUCCGUGGAUGCGUAGAUCUCUUCGAAUGCAAUCCCUUGCGGAUUUUCAUGGGGAAGCCUUGGGUAAGAGUAGGAUCCAUCUCUAUCCCCUUUAAUUAAGUAUUUUUGGAGGUUUUGGGCGUGGGGGAUUAAAGGAUUAGAGGUUGGAUUGGAGUUUAACUUCAUUUCUAGUUGUGGUUUCCUAGCAGAUUCAGCAGUCUGUCUAGGGCAUGGAUUUUGGAUACUUUAGGUGCUGAACUGAUUUCUGAGAUAGAUUAUAAAGUUUUAGAGUAUUUAAUAAUCUUUCCAAAUUGUAUUUAAUUGCAAUUUUUGGUGGAGUAGAACUCGAGAUAUGGCCGGAUUAUUAUGACUGUUCAUGUUUGCCUGGUAGAUUGAGCAGGUGUGUUCAUUAGUGUUUUUCAUCUAGUAAAUGGCUGAAUUGGCUCUUAAAACUUGGAGACUUUUGUAGAGGGUUUACUGCCAGCAAAAUUUCAUAAUUUUUGGUUUUAUAGUUUAGGAGAUAUGAAUUUUUAUGUGUUGGUGCCUGGGCUGUUAGGCAGAUUUAGAAGUGAUGUUUGAGUUGUGUUUUAGGUGCCCAUAGAGGGCUGAUAAAAUUAUAGUUUUGCUACCAAAGUUGUAGUUUAUUCUCUUAAGUUCCCAAAUAUAUAUUUCACCUAAUAUGUUUUAUAAAAAUAGAUACAUAAAAGAUAACAUUGCUGCUCUUCAUCGAUAACGGUGACAAAGGAUGUAGUUUAUCUAUUCUCAUUCAUAUUGGGGUUUUGGACAUAUGAACACUUUAUGUUUCAGUAUGAGAAUGCCAUUUGGAGUUGUUGUGCUGAAAAAUAUGAGUUGUUUAGCAGGAGGAGUUGCUACAAGGCUUGUACAUCUACAUGUCCGGUAAAGGCAAGUGAACGUAGCUAUGUGUUGCUACAACUUUAACAUUCUAUUUUUACUACCUCCAUUUAUAAAAUGUAGCACACAUAAUUAUAUGUGAUAAUCUGAAAUUUUAUACAUGAUGUUUAUAAUUAUGAUAAGUGUGAAUAUGUUAUUGCUAAUAUAGCUGUAUAGUGGGUAUAUUGGUUUUACUGGAAAAUGGGCGAGUAGAUGAAUGGAUUGUUCAAUGGAUGAGGGGUUUUGAAAAAUGGUUGAGGCUGAAAUUAUAUUUUUCAUAUGGUGUGAUUUAUCCUAUGAUAUGUUUUUUUCCUACGGUAGUGAACUCUAUGGAAUCUAUAGUGGUUUUAGUAGCUGACAGAUUUGUUGCACCAGAGGAAUGUUGAUCUUGGUGUGGUAUUCACGCUACUUUAUGUCUCCUAGUGCUAACAUGUGCGGAUGAAAUGAAUUGAGUCAGAAGUAGUUUUUAGAAGUCUUUGAGUAUACGUGUUCAAACAUAAGAAUUAAGUUUCAAGUUAACUAGCUCUAUUUGAUAUACAUGGUUUGGGCUUAGAUUAUGGAGUUGGUGCUUUUCUCCAUAUUUAAAAUGAUAAUACUUACAUUCUAUCCUAUACCUAUUAAAAUGGAAGGGACCUAUAGAUAACAUGAUAUGGAGAAUUGUUUACUUUUGUUGAUAAUUGGCAUACAUGAGAUUCUCUAGAAUAAUCUCUUUGUGCAUCUCUCUGUAUAUUUAUCAUGGCUUAGUCUCUUUUCAUUAUGGAGUUAUGUGGUAUUUGGAUUUUGGAGAUGGUAUUUAUCUUGUGGUAUUGCAUUGCAUUGCAUGGCAUUUGGAGUUACGUUGCGAACCUAUGAUUGCGACCGUACCGGUACAGCAUCGUUUAUUGGGCACAACGAAAUAGCUUCGUACCUUGUUGGAUAUGAAGGCAGGAGUUCAUAUGCAUCCAUAUGCAUGUAGCAUCGUUUAUUGGGCAUGACAUGUGGCUUCAUACCUUAAUGGGUAUGAAGGCAGGAGUUCAUGUGCAUUGAUAUGCAUUUCUGAAUGUUUGGAUAUUGGAUGUGAUGAAGUUACUUUGUGCCGAUAUACACUGUGAUAUGACUUUUGGGAUUCGUAUGUUAGCUUCUUGUCAUUCACAUUUUUUUAUGGAUAUUUGAAUAUUGGUGUGAUAUAGUUUCAAUAAAACUAAUAUGAUAAGCGGACCUUCCCUAUGGUGAUAAGCGUUAUGGUAUGGCCUAUUGGGUGUGGAGAUAUUAUAUGUGUUGUUGCCUUGCAUUCCUAUGGGCUUCAAUGGCCUAUGGAUGGAGCUAUAUUUCUAACACUCGUUACUAUAAAAUGAUUAGUUAAUCUACUGUGGUUUAAAUAGCUUAUUAAAGUAGUUCGCUUACUGAGAUUAUCCAAUCUCACUCUUAUUUUGCUCUCCCCAGGUUCCUUUGAAGCUAGCAUGGAGGGAAGUGGGUUAGUUGCACAACAUAUAUUUUCACACAAUUCCACAUAAUGCCAAUAUGUGCUCUUCUAAGGAUAUGAUUUGUUAGGUUAUCCUUAUUCUUGCUCAUAUUGCUAAAGAUAUGCGGUUGUUAUGUUGGAGAAUCACGCUUCAUAUAUAGUCUAUCGAUGGUUGCUUCCGCGUUGUGUUUGUUCAAGGUAUACGCUGCCGAAAUUUUCUAGAUUGGCAUUUUGCAGUGUAGUUGUGUAGCAUCCAAGGGUUGCAUGAUACCUGGGGUGUUACAAUUACAUUGGACAAUACUAUGUAACAUAUGUCAUCAACCUGGUACUAUUACCCAUAAUCAUCUUAUAUACUCCAGUACAGCCUUGAAUCAUAUGGACCUUCAAUAACAGAGUAGAGAUGCAAGGGCACAGCUUUGGGUGAUACUGCGUUCAUUGUGAAGUAAAUUGAUCAAAAGAUCAUGUUAAGCGAGCUAGGUAGGUGAAACACAAAAGAAAAUAAUUUCUGUCGGUCAUAGAGACACGUUCUCUUCUAGAGUCAGUGAGGUACAAUCUUAAAACCAUGGCCUAUAUAUAUACUGCUUGUUCUUGCACCACUCCACGGCUCACACCCUUCAAUUCUAUGUUUCAGUCCAUAGAGGUUGUUGCCAACAUAAGUUAUUUCUCUCUACUUCCGCUUAUACUACUAUUGGCUACUGAUGGGGGUUAGGAGGUACCGGGAUUUCAACAUGUAGCAAAAGUUGCCAGGGCUGUGCUCCUAUUCUGGAUGAUACUGCAGUUUUUGUGACUUGUCCAGACAACAGUUGAAUUGGAUGAGAAGACAUGCUAGCGACAUGAAUUCUCCCCACAAGCAGUAAACCAGGAUCUGGCAUUUGAACAUGCAACCAUCUGAGUUCUGAGCCUUUGGCUAGCACCGGCAAAUCUUGACGUGACUGUUGGUCUCAAAAGAAUUCAACACCAGCAGAUGGAAUGUGAUAGCAUUUGUAAGUUCUAAAAAUAAUGAAUCUCCCUUUAUCAGCCAUAGUUGUUAGCUUCGAAAUCCCAAAGUAGCAAAGAAUAUGUAAGGUUAGCCGAGUUUUGUUUGCUGAUCCAGAACUAGCGAGAUUAACCGAAUUUUGUUUCUUGUUGCGAGGUUAGGAUAUUUUUGCCUACGAACGGUGCUCGAAAUUGUUUAGUUUUUUAGGUGAUCCCCGACAGCGGCGUCCUUUCAGGAUCUGCCUACCUUCACGUCUCUAGGUGAGCACGUUCCCCUUCUCUCCCAUUAGCAUAACUGCAUAAGCAUGUGCCAUCAUUUUCAAUUCGUCCAGUGCACUCAAUUCUGCUAAGUUUGUUUAUUGCAUCGCAUCAAUCGAUCAUGCUUGGGCUCGUUUCUACUACGUGCUCCGAUCCUUGUGCAGCUCAUACAUCUGAUUCUGAUCUGAUCGAUAUGCAGUAGCCCGUCGACUGAUCUUCUUUAGCUACCGACGAAGUGACGAGUACUACCUGACCUUUUUCCCUUGCUAAUAUCACCGUGUGUGCAGAUCGGUACACUCGCAGCUCAGGCUCGAUGACUCUGCUCAUGCAGUGGGAUACGGUGCAGCUCGGACACGAUGGCCCUGUCAGACUUGCACGUUUCAGCCAAGAUGCGCAGCAAGAACUCUAGUCCUGCCUAGCAUGAUUCUUGUCUUAACGAACAUAUACUUGCAUCUGACUCCCUGCCUGCUCUAGGACUGCUAAUGGUAGUAAACACCCAUUUCUUUCACUUUUUUGAUUCAGUAGUCAUCUAAGCAUCCUCUGUAUUUCCUGUAUUUCCC